CUCGACGCCUCCUUGUCAGGGCUUCUCCGCAGAGGCGGGGCUUCUGUGCUAGCCAAUCAGCAGCCUCACCGCCCUCUCCGGGCCCCCUCACCACAGCCCUGUGACGUGCCAAUCAGGCUGCGGUUGCCACAGCAACAGUUUGGCGCGAAGGCUGGGGGCUGACGUCAGGGAGUGGCCGUGAGGGACCCCAAAGCCAGGUCUGGAAAAGGGGGGUGGGUUGGGUGGUGGGGGUGCAGCCCCCAAAGAAAUGGGGGUCGAAAUGGAGGAAACCCCACUGAGAUGCUCAAAUGUAAAACCGCUGAAGAAUAAAGGGACAAAUGUACACAUCUGUCUAAAUGAAAAAAAUGAAAAUCCUGGCCGCAAAAACACAUACAUUAACGUCUAAAGACCUGCAGGGAAGACAAGACUUUUCCGCCUGGGACACAUGAAAGACAUCGAGCUAAUUUCCUUAAUAAAUGAAGAGCUCUUGGAAACCAACGAGAUAAAGACCAAACCAAGACAGAAAAAUGGGCAAAAGGGAUAAAACUGGCAAUUCGCAAGAAAAUCCAAACGGCUGGCCGACCUGCGAAGGAAACAUCACGACCUGUUUGCAUAAAGAAAUGCAAACCUGAAACACCGGGCACGUGCGGUUUAGGGGAGCGGGCAGUCUCACACACUACUGAGUUGUUUCCCAGCAGCCGUCAAUACAGACCUUCCACUGCGUAAGCCCACUGCAUUGCCAUUUAAUAAAACAGCAAGAAAAUGAGAGAGAAAAAUAAUGAGGUAGAAUUGUAUGGGAUUAUUAAGGAUUGAAUUCUCAGUAGAUUUAGUGAAAUAUACAAGUUACUGAAGUUUGUAGAAACGAACUGGCUCCUUUUAUGUCAGGAGAGUCCAAAUCCAGUACCUGUUUGCCACAAUGAGCCUGGGACCUCAACAUGCAUGGAGUGCUUCCGGACCUCAUUACCCAAGAGCAGUCAGAUUUUUAAUUUCCUCUGCCUUUUUCAAGAUCAUUAGUUCAGAAGGUUUAUGUUUUCAAUUCCACAUAUCCUUGCAUUUUUCUUUCAAGUUUUGACCCAUAUGGAUAUCUUAAAUAUUCCUAUUAUUGCAAGUUUAUAUUAAAAGGAGGUUAAAUUGUGAACUCACAAACUCAUAGCAUCAUAGCACCAUCUCAAUCAAAAGUAUUAUCUUCUGUGAACUACAACAGUUUUCACUUCUUUCGCAAGUGUGGAGUGACGUUUGCCUGAGGCUGUAUGACCUGUGAUAUCAUGACAAAUUGAAGGCCAAAGCAGAUGCGAAUCCAGCUGUUUUCUAUUAAGUCAAAUGCCAAGGAGAUUUACAAAGAUGUAAAAUAAUGCGCCUCUUCUCAAUAACCUUUGGUUUUGAAAAUUGUUAUUUUUCAUAAAAAAUGUUGCUUCCAUUAACCUGUAAUAGGUUUACUACCAUUAUUUUAAAUAAAAUACACAUUUCAAAUGGCUUAA
rnacentral:lncRNA from 1 species